rnacentral:rRNA from 1 species
GAUGAACGCUGGCGGCGUGCCUAAUACAUGCAAGUCGAGCGAACAGAUGAGGAGCUUGCUCCUCUGACGUUAGCGGCGGACGGGUGAGUAACACGUGGAUAACCUACCUAUAAGACUGGGAUAACUUCGGGAAACCGGAGCUAAUACCGGAUAAUAUAUUGAACCGCAUGGUUCAAUAGUGAAAGACGGUUUUGCUGUCACUUAUAGAUGGAUCCGCGCCGCAUUAGCUAGUUGGUAAGGUAACGGCUUACCAAGGCAACGAUGCGUACCCGACCUGAGAGGGUGAUCGGCCACACUGGAACUGAGACACGGUCCAGACUCCUACGGGAGGCAGCAGUAGGGAAUCUUCCGAAAUGGGCGAAAGCCUGACGGAGCAACGCGGCGUGAGUGAUGAAGGUCUUCGGAUCGUAAAACUCUGUUAUUAGGGAAGAACAAAUGUGUAAGUAACUAUGCACGUCUUGACGGUACCGAAUCAGAAAGCCACGGCGAACUACGU